GACAAGAAGGAUGUAUUAAAGUUCAAGGAGUUUCUGUAGUUUGUUUCUCAGACACACUGAAGCUGAACCCAAGUUUGAGCCUACAUGUUUAGUUGCCUAACACCUAACACCUAUUCCAUCGAAGACCAAGCCAACGACGUGAUAGGACCAAGAGAGUCGGUAUAGAAGAUGCAUGUGCUGGGACAGGCUCAAUGAUGAAAUUUUGAUUACAUGAAAAUGUUCAUUGUAGUUGUAAGAUCAAAUAAGACAGUUACUUUUCUUUUCUUUUCUUAAUUUUUCCCUUUAUUCAUACUUUUUAGUUUAGAAACUAUUGGGAGGUUCUGCAAAAUAUUUUCUUCUUGUAAUAAACCUUUUUCUAAAACAUUUCAUUGGGAAGUGAUUAAAUUUCAUGAUCUUUUUGUAGGCAAUGAGCAUCACUUUUUUGCUUGUGGCACUUAACAAUUAAUACCAGGUAAUCCUUGAUUGAGGUCAAAGUUGAAAAAAGCAAUAAAAUGGCACUCCAUGGACUUGCAGAGUGCUGCCUUGUAGUUACCAUGGAGAAAAUAUCUGACGAUAUAUAAAUUACAUCAAAUGGUUUUGAAAUAUUCCAGCUAUGACAUGCA
rnacentral:lncRNA from 1 species